rnacentral:rRNA from 1 species
CCUACGGGAGGCAGCAGUGGGGAAUAUUGGGCAAUGGGCGCAAGCCUGACCCAGCAACGCCGCGUGAAGGAAGAAGGCUUUCGGGUUGUAAACUUCUUUUGACAGGGAAGAGUAGAAGACGGUACCUGUCGAAUAAGCCACGGCUAACUACGUGCCAGCAGCCGCGGUAAUACGUAGGGGGCAAGCGUUGUCCGGAAUGACUGGGCGUAAAGGGAGUGUAGGCGGCUUAUCAAGUUAGAUGUGAAAUCCCGCGGCUUAACCGCGGAACUGCAUCUAAAACUGGUGAGCUGGAGUGCAGGAGAGGG